GGGAUGGGGUUAUGUCCUGCCUGGAACAUCCAAGAUCAACUUGAACAAGCAAUUUAACCUUUCUACACACUUCGUGGUGGAGUCUAUGGCAAAGGCUGGUGCAGCCACACCAUGACAGGCUUCUUCCAGUUUUUGAAAUGUCAAGCAACUCACUAAGAGCACAGAGCCGGCUCCGGGGGACCUCGGAAGAUGGGCGCACAGGGAGGAAGGAUUAAGCCAGCAACAUGGGCACAAGUCAUAUCCUGGGACAGAGGGUUUACAGAGGGAUCUAUCCCCUGCUAUCCGAGUUGAGAAGGGUCAGCUUUUGCUAAUAAGUAACAGUGCAAUAAGGAGUCCAGCGCUCUGUUAAGACAAUCACGGAAAACAAGAGGGGCUCCAGUGAUGGGGAAUGGGUUGGGGAAGCGAUCCUGGUGCAGUCUACCCUGCCAGUUUCCUGGGGAAAGGAAGGAUAAGUAGAUUUCUCUCGGCAAAUUAGCAACUUUGUGACAAAGACCAGCUGUAGCCCUCCCCCCAAUCCUUUCUGACUGCCCCUAGGAUGCUGGGGGCUCAGAGACGGAAAGGAAGGACACCAGCAGCCAUCCUACUCUUCAUCCCUGACUUCCUUGUUUCACCUUCACCCUCCGAGACAGGUGUCACCGCUGCUCCUGAUGCCCAGGCUCAGGCGGCCGUGGGGCCCGCCCAAGGUCACCCGCAGCACACCGUCUCCACCACCCGAGGCAGCCAGCCAGGUCUCAGGUCUGCCUUCAGUGCUAAAAGCUUUGUUUUCUAGGCCAACGUUUCUAGAGAGAGUUUUCCCCGUGAGGAGGCUCCCUUUUGUCUGCGGGCAAGCGGUUCGGGGGCCCAGCUGCUCCAGGAGUGUGGGUGUCAGCUGCCUCCUGUGCUUUCUGCAAGCAGGUGAGGGGUCAAGGCCAUCCGCAGGGACGGUGGCGAUACCCAGUGAGGCGCUGAGAGGUCUUUUUACUAAACACGGAACAGAGGCCACGUCCGGGCGGCCGGCAGGGUCCCCAGGGAGCCCGGGUUUCAGGCCUGAAACCUGCCGGACCGCGGCGCUCGGGAGGUGGGGGAAACCGCGUCGUGGAGGUGGAGGUGGACCCGGACGCCCGCCCGCACUCACCGGUCCCGGCUCUCGGCGGACACCGCCGUGGCUUCCUCGGACACGGCACCGCUAGGCGGAACAGCCGGCACAACAGCCGCCCGGGCGGGCUCGCGCCGGCCGCGAGGCUGGGGAGGGCGCAGAGCGGGGAAGGCGCCGGCGGCGGGACGCGGGGACGCUCGCCCACCUGGGCCGCGCGCCGCCGCGCAGGCCGUACCUGUCCCACCUGUGGGGGCGGCGGCCCCCUCCCCAGCCCCGAGCCUCGGGGCCCGCCCCUAGCCCUGCGGUCCUCACCGGCGCUCCGCCGAGCACAAAGGGCUCCCGCGGGCGGAACCGCGGCGCCGGCGACCCUCCAGAAGCAGGCCCGCCCCCUGCCCCGGCCCCCGGAAGGCGCGCGGCUCCCGCCCCGGCCAGCGCAGGAGCAGGGCGCGCGCGGAGGCCCACCUGGGAGGGCACGCUACUGGCGCGGCGCGGGGACCCCCGGCGGCGGGGCCGAGCGGGCGGGGCGGCGGGGCCGGAGCGCCGGAGCCCGCGGGCCGGCCGGGAGCGCGGCCAUGGCUCCGCCAGGAAGUGCGAGGCCGAGGGCGGGGGCGCGCGCAGCCAAUGGCGGCGGCCGGGAGCCGGUGGGCGCAGGCGGCGCGGGGGCGGAGCCUGCGCGGGGCGGGGCCUGCGCUGGGGCGGGGUCUGUGCGGGGUCCGGGCCUGCGUGGGGUCCUCGCCCACCCCUCGGCCCGCACACCCCCUCGACCCGGGGCCUCACUGGCGGCCCCGGCGGGCCACUCAAGAGUCAAGCAUCGCGACCGCCUCCUGGGUGUCGACCGCCGUCCCAGGCGCAGGGACACGGCGUGGACCAGACAGGCGAGGCAAAUCUUCGAUCCUUUUGGAAUUUACCCUGAUCUGCGGUGUGAGGUAUGGCUCCAUCUUUGGCUUGCUUUCUAAUAACUAAUUAUCCCAUUAUCUUCAUCAGGGAGUAAGGUAGGAGCUGCUUUGAGCUGCAUCCAACUGGAAUUUCUUUGUUUUUGCCUUUUAAUUUAUAGCAAUACCAGCUCCUACUUUCCCCACUCACCUUCCCCCAUGUGCCUGUUCAAUGCUCGAUUGAUUUUUGUUUGUUUACCAUUAAGAAUUAAUUUUAUUAUUAAUUGAACAUUGUCCCUGACCUUUGGGAUUUCUAUUUACGAUUUAUUUUAGUUGAUAACCAU
ensembl:lncRNA